UACGUAGGGUGCGAGCGUUGUCCGGAAUUACUGGGCGUAAAGAGCUCGUAGGUGGUUUGUCGCGUUGUUCGUGAAAACUCACAGCUUAACUGUGGGCGUGCGGGCGAUACGGGCAGACUGGAGUACUGCAGGGGAGACUGGAAUUCCUGGUGUAGCGGUGGAAUGCGCAGAUAUCAGGAGGAACACCGGUGGCGAAGGCGGCCUGCUGGGCAGUAGCGUGA
rnacentral:rRNA from 1 species